rnacentral:rRNA from 1 species
GACGAACGCUGGCGGCGUGCUUAACACAUGCAAGUCGAACGGACAGGCCCUGCUUUUGUGGGGUGCUCGAGUGGCGAACGGGUGAGUAACACGCGAGUAACCUGCCCUUGACUUUGGGAUAACUUCAGGAAACUGGGGCUCAUACAGGAUAGGAGCUCCUGCUGCAUGGUGGGGGUUGGAAAGUUUCGGCGGUUGGGGAUGGACUCGCGGCUUAUCAGCUUGUUGGUGGGGUAGUGGCUUACCAAGGCUUUGACGGGUAGCCGGCCUGAGAGGGUGACCGGCCACAAUGGGACUGAGAUACGGCGCAGACGCCUACGGGAGGCAGCAGUGGGGAAUAUUGCACAAUGGGCGGGAGCCUGAUGCAGCAACGCCGCGUGCGGGAUGACGGCCUUCGGGUUGUAAACCGCUUUCGCCUGUGACGAAGCGUGAGUGACGGUAAUGGGUAAAGAAGCACCGGCUAACUACGUG